rnacentral:rRNA from 1 species
GACAGAGGGGGCAAGCGUUGCUCGGAAUUACUGGGCGUAAAGGGCGCGUAGGCGGAAUGGCAAGUCGGUCGUGAAAUCCUUCGGCUCAACCGAAGAACGUCGAUCGAAACUGCCGUUCUUGAGGAUUGCAGAGGAGACUGGAAUUCCCGGUGUAGCGGUGAAAUGUGUAGAGAUCGGGAGGAACACCGGUGGCGAAGGCGGGUCUCUGGGCAAUUCCUGACGCUGAGGAGCGAAAGCCAGGGGAGCAAACGGG